rnacentral:rRNA from 1 species
UAACCAGACUCCUACGGGAGGCAGCAGUGAGGAAUAUUGGUCAAUGGGCGAGAGCCUGAACCAGCCAAGUCGCGUGAAGGAUGACGGCCCUACGGGUUGUAAACUUCUUUUGUCAGGGAGCAAUUGAGUCCACGUGUGGGCUUGGCGAGAGUACCUGAAGAAAAAGCAUCGGCUAACUCCGUGCCAGCAGCCGCGGUAAUACGGAGGAUGCGAGCGUUAUCCGGAUUUAUUGGGUUUAAAGGGUGCGUAGGCGGACGCUUAAGUCAGCGGUAAAAUGGCGGGGCUCAACCCGGUCGAGCCGUUGAAACUGGGUGCCUUGAGUGGGCGAGAAGUACGCGGAAUGCGUGGUGUAGCGGUGAAAUGCAUAGAUAUCGCGCAGAACUCCGAUUGCGAAGGCAGCAUGCCGGCUCCACACUGACGCUGAGGCACGAAAGCGUGGGUAUCGAACAGGAUUAGAUACCCGCGUAC